rnacentral:rRNA from 1 species
UACGGAGGUCCCAAGCGUUGUUCGGAAUUACUGGGCGUAAAGGGAGCGCAGGCGGACAGGUAAGUCUAACGUGGAAUCCCGGGGCUCAACCUCGGAACUGCUUCGGAUACUGCUUGUCUUGAGUUCGUGAGAGGAAAGCGGAAUUCAGGGUGUAGCGGUGAAAUGCUUAGAUAUCCUGAGGAACACCAAUGGCGAAGGCAGCUUUCUGGCGCGAUACUGACGCUGAGGCUCGAAAGCGUGGGGAGCGAACGGG